GGGCUUGGAUUAUGGCUGUUUGCUGGCUUUGAGUCGGCUCGGCUGAAAUAUACGAGCUAUCCAAUUUGAAAUGAACGGUUUGACUCGGCGUAAUAAUUCGUUUCGCUGGGAACGUUUGAUUCAAGACAGUGGUGCUUCUAAUAUGGUUUUCCAUUUAAGCUUUAGACCUCAAAUCAGAUAGGACUACCCGCUGAACUUAA
rnacentral:misc_RNA from 1 species